GUGACUUUACCGAAAGAGCUAAGAAUAUCUUUCCAAUGGUUGUUCUUCCUGUUCAUCCACCAGUGGAUAGACCAAAGCACCCUGCGAGAGCUUACGCGUUGCCAUUUCACCUUCAAUAUAACCGCCGCUGAAGAUUUGGUUCCGGAUUCAAUUGACGCCGAGACGAAUUGGUUCCGCGGGUGUUUCCGCCCGGACGGCUGUCAAUCAAAGCGCCCGGAGCAGGUCGACGUCACGGCCGGUUAGAAUUUCUUAGUCCGCUUAAGCGCCGGCGUUGCCCCCGCGGCCCCCUCAUUGGCUGUCCGCGCCGAGUGACGUCACCAACCCGGAUGAGGCGCCGCGCAUCCGCGGUGGGGAUUCUAAUAGCGGUGAGAAGCCGCCAGUCAGCAUCCACGUUGAGAGUCUCCGGUUCCGGCUCGGUGGGUGAGAGAGACCCACGAAGCGGACGCCGAGCGGGGCGGAGAGAGAGAGGGAGAGAGAGACGCUGCGUGGGGUCACGGA